UGAAGGAGAGUUCUCCUUGUUCCAGAAUAACCCAUAAUGCACCGGGUGAAUUGCGACGUAGGUGCAACGUAUACAAUGGGCGUUACUACGAUUCCAAUGGAGUUUCCCAUCUCUUCAAAAGUAUAUUUGGUUUAUCCAAAUUAUGUUCGUUUCCGGGUGCACUUUCUAUCGCAAUCCGGUUUGGAAUAAGGACCGGGGGCGGUUCUACAAGAAAGCCCCAAAACCCGAACUCCAACAGGUUUUUCAAGCGAAUUUUUAGGUGCUCUUCACUCCGAUUACAUAUGCCACGGGCCCCAGUGUGGGUGCAUUGCACCGCGCUCAACGGUGGCGCGAUUCGGACUGAGUUAGCAUGCUAGCCAGCAAAAUGUAUUUAUACUCCACCCCUCUCCAACCGGCUGUAGCGAUUAGUCAAUACCCCAUAGUUAGGGGUGAGCUGUAAAACCCAACUUCUCUAUUGGACUUUUCCGUUCAAUUCCUCCCCAUCCACCCCGCUGGAAGAUUGUUGCAUUGGGACGGCCAUAACAAGAAGAGUGUAUUCUGGUAGGAACCCAGUUUCGGAUUCGGGAUUUAAGGCCCACAAGGGGGUUAGGGGUUUAAACUACAAUAAUUUGAUCCAUAAACCCCCCAUGCCUGGCAUUUCUGUCAGUGUUUUGGUCACUUUUAAUAAAAAUGUUUGCCUUUUAUUUUAUGUAAAUAGUGCCAGUUCCUGAAUUUGGCUUUCUACCUCAACACUCCAUUUUCAUUCUCCUCCCAGACGUCUUAACACUAGCAGUAUCUGACGGCCCCUCGUCUCCCCUUCAACCUCCGUGCGCAGCGCACUGUGGUCAUCUCUCGCGGGGGAAAAUAUCAGAUAACAGGAACCCCCUUACUCGGACAAAGCGAGGCUCCAACAAGAGGACGGUGAUCUGUGUUCCCUUUCCAAGUAGCAAACGAGCUCUGUGGCAAUCGAAUCCUCAAAACAGACCGGGCUCCGGUGCUCGCCAUGCCCGGCCCGGCGGCCGGCAGUAAAUCUCGGGUGUACGCAGAUGUCAACACUUUGAAGAGCAGGGAAUAUUGGGACUACGAAACCCACGUGCCUAACUGGAGUAACCAGGAAGACUACCAGUUGGUGCGUAAGCUUGGCAGAGGGAAGUACAGUGAGGUCUUUGAGGCCAUCAACAACAAUGAGAAGGUGGUUGUCAAGAUCCUCAAGCCUGUCAAGAAGAAGAAAAUCAAGCGUGAAAUCAAGAUCCUGGAGAAUUUGCGAGGUGGAGCCAACAUUAUUCGAUUGGUGGACACAGUGAAAGACCCUGUGAUUUUUUCCUCUAUUUGUCCUCUCUCUCAAACCUCUCUACAGUCCCGAACGCCUGCGCUUGUCUUUGAAUGCAUCAAUAACACAGAUUUUAAGGAGCUCUACCAGAAGUUAACAGAUUUUGAUAUCCGUUUUUACAUGUAUGAACUACUUAAGGCUCUGGACUACUGCCACAGUAUGGGGAUAAUGCACCGUGAUGUCAAGCCCCACAAUGUGAUGAUUGACCACCAGAUGAGGAAGCUACGUCUAAUAGACUGGGGCCUUGCAGAGUUCUACCAUCCUGCACAGGAAUACAACGUCAGAGUAGCGUCUCGCUACUUUAAGGGACCUGAGUUACUGGUGGAUUACCAGAUGUACGACUACAGUUUGGACAUGUGGAGUCUUGGCUGCAUGCUGGCCAGUAUGAUCUUUCAGAAAGAGCCCUUCUUCCAUGGCCAGGACAAUUAUGACCAGCUGGUCCGAAUUGCCAAAGUCCUAGGGACAGAGGAACUUUUUGGUUACCUGCGCAAAUACCACAUUGAACUGGACCCACGCUUCAAGGACCUUCUUGGCCAACAGACGCGGAAACGCUGGGAGCAAUUUGUCCAGACCGAGAACCAGCACCUGGUUAGCCCUGAGGCUCUGGACCUGCUGGAUAAGCUGCUGCGCUACGACCAUCAGCAGAGACUGACGGCCACAGAGGCCAUGGAGCAUCCCUACUUCUAUCCUGUGCUGAAGGAACAGUCUCUCUCUAAUGCGGAUGGCAAUAUGGUGUCCAGUGGAUCCACUACUGCUCGAUGAAAGCAGAUCGUAUGAGUCACUUCGCCAUUGUAGUGGUUGGGAUUCGGUUCAAUCACGAAGAACAUUUGUUACCUCGACUUUUUAGCCCUUUGUGGCAGAAACUUCUUCAAGUGUACAGUGAAAAUGGAUCAGAGCGACACCAGACACACCCCCCUUCUCUUUGUCAGUCUGAGGUUGACUUGCCCCAGUUACAUGUCAAGCAGCCAGACCAAUGAGCUUGGUGUCUCACUGCUGCCCCUGUCCUGCUCUGCCCCCUCCUCUUAUCACGAGGUAAACAGAAAAUGUUCAAAGACAAGAAAAAAAGGAUCCUUCCCUGUCAUUAUCCCCCCCUCCUUUGGCCCCCCUCCCUCGUUUAACUAAGCAUGGAGAAUGAAAAGGAACGUGAGCCUGCCCCCCCCCCCCUCCUUGGUCAGGCUGUCUGUUCAGUGUUCAGCCACUUGGCAGGCCUAUGCUCAGCCUCCACACACUGUAGUACCAAAGUGUUAUGGUGGACAUUUUCUCUGCUCUAGGUAGAAUGAUAAUAUGAAUAAAAAUAAUACUUUUUUUUAUA